CACACACAACGAUACGCACAAACCGUCCAGCUUACGCAAUGACAAUACAUCCAAAGGUUUAUAUACAACCUCUAGGGACUGGAUUUCCCUAGAGCAGAUCAUCUGAUUGAAGUGUUCUUGCCUGCAGACACCGGGGAGAGCUGUUGCUGCCUCAACACAAAGACACAGUGGGAUACAGUUGCCCCGCAGCAGCUCCUGAGGGCAAGUUCCAGAGGAGUUUUGUGGCCUCAACUGUAAAGCACUGAAGGGAACAAGAAUGUUUUUUCGCAUCCCUCGCCUGACCCCUGGAUACAUCAGAUAUCUGCAGACCCAGGCAGCCCAGACGGUGCUGCAGAACAGGGAGAUCACUGCCACGCCAUACCUGGCUCUCCUGAUGGGUCUGAUUGGUGUGGGUUUGUCUGGCUACAGCUCCCGCCAGCUCACACUCCACUGCAAGCCAUCCACUCAUCUCUUCAGAUGACAGAGAUGGAGGAGACACCAAGUUUUCUAUAUGUAUAUAUAUGUAUAUAUAUCUGGGUCAUUUAGAAAGUGUUUUCCUUGUGACAGUUUUCUGGAUUUUGACAGAACCAGACAAAAUCUUUAGAGAUACUGAUGACAGAAGUAUUCUACCAUUUGGCAGCUUUUAUUCCAAUAUUCAGUCUUUGAGUCUUUUUAUGAAAUUAAACAUAAUUAUUUCCCAAAAUAUCAACAACUGCAAACUUGCUCAUCGUAUGUUUAUGUUGCUGUUUGCAGUUUUUCAUUAUCCGAAUCAGGUUCAACAUUCACCAAAGUUCUAACUAUUUAGUAUUAUUAUUUUUGUUGUGUUUGGACUGACAAGCGUGUUGCCUUACAGUUUUGUUUAAAUGGGUCCCAAUAAGAGGUACCUUUAUUUUUUCUGCACAGCAGAGUAUUUUUUGUUGAAUGUUAAAGAUGCACAGACAAAAGGAAAGGCAGCUAAUGAUGUUUCUUUGGAACUUGGUUCAUGUUGUACUUGGAUCACGGUCCUCAGCUCUCCCACUUUCCCAUGCCUUAUCAUGGAAUUAUUCAGUUAGAAGUCGCAAAUUUGCAAAAAAAAAGGAAAACAUUAGAGCUACAGUGUGUGAUAAGUAUCACUAUAUGUGAUGCUCACCUCAAUAUGUGAUGAAGCAAAUACAUUCUGUCAGAGAAUCACCAUGCUGUGAAGACUCAUAACAAAAUCUCAGAAGAGAAAAAUAUCUAUUCAGGUCAAAAUUUAGGAAGUUAACAAUUGUGUACUCUUACAUUUAUCUGUGAAUAUUACCUGUAAAUGUAGCCAUGAAUGUGUUUCUUGGACACUAAAUGAGAUUAGUAGUGCAGGACAUUGAGUCCUUUCUGCUUAUUUUGUGAGGUGGACCGGGAGACAUCCAGCUGGGCUCAUUUGUUGUUGCCGAGCAGAGAAACCAGGACAGCCAUCCUAGAUGCCACCUUGGGUCAACAGGUGAAUCCACAUGGAUCUCUCUUGGUUGCACUCCGAAUAUUAUAAUCUGAAUGUAGAUGAAUGACCGUUGGAGGUCUCUUAACAAAAAAUGUACCUUACUGUGGCUGUGUACUUGUUGUGCUUGAUGCAUUUUUAAUGGAGAAAAUGAACUUUGACAGCACAAUGAAUGUAAAUAGGAGCAGUUAGACUGUAAUUGUAAGGAUAAUCAUAUUGAAACCUCUUUGCAAAAGCAAAGUGAAGGCUAUGACAAUAGCAUGACUGUAAAAGGACAUGUAGCAUAUUAACAGGUUAUGAUAUAAGUAAGGUGAUCCCUAAAGAUCUUCUUUAGAUAAAAACAGAUAAGACCAGCUUACAACUGAGACAUGAGAAAAAAAGUGUAAGGAAGUUAUAUAUUUAUAGGGACACUGUGUGAUUUAAAAAAAAAAAAAGUUGUAUUCGAUGAUGCAGUAACGUAUUUGAUGCAGCAUUGUGGUAUGAAGGCAUACAAUGCCUUUGCUACAUAUAUUAAAAACAAAACUGUUGCACUAAGAGAUUUAAAUGACAGUGUUUGUUUCCUACAGCCAAUAUAAGAUUUAGUGCAAGUUUACUGAAAUCUGUGCAGUAAAUAAAGUACAUUUAAAAAAAUGUAAUUUUUCAGAAUGGCCUGUCGGUUUGCCCUUAUGGACCCGAUGCACAACAAAGCACCUUAAUAAACAUUGUGCACAAUUGUUUAUGUUUCAAUAAAUCAUUAAAAACCUCA